AUUGAACGCUGGCGGCAUGCCUUACACAUGCAAGUCGAACGGCAGCGGACCUUCGGGUGCCGGCGAGUGGCGAACGGGUGAGUAAUGCAUCGGAACGUGCCAUUGAGUGGGGGGAUAACGUAGCGAAAGUUGCGCUAAUACCGCAUAUUCUGUGAGCAGGAAAGCAGGGGACCGCAAGGCCUUGCGCUCUUUGAGCGGCCGAUGUCAGAUUAGCUAGUUGGUGAGGUAACGGCUUACCAAGGCGACGAUCUGUAGCGGGUCUGAGAGGAUGAUCCGCCACACUGGAACUGAGACACGGUCCAGACUCCUACGGGAGGCAGCAGUGGGGAAUUUUGGACAAUGGGGGCAACCCUGAUCCAGCCAUGCCGCGUGAGUGAAGAAGGCCUUCGGUUGGUUAAACUAGUCGUUUUGUUACGGUAACGGAAACGGUUACUC
rnacentral:rRNA from 1 species